GCCUGGCGUGGUGGCUCACGCCUGUAAUCCCAGCACUCUGGGAGGCUGAGGCAGGAGGAUAGCUGCAAGUUUGGGACCAGCCUGGGCUACAAAGUGAGUUCAAGGCCAGCCUGAACUGCAUAAUGAGACCCUGUCUCAAAAAGAUUAAAAAAUAAAAAGAGAGAGAGACAGGAUCUCACUAUGCAGUUCAGGCUGGCUUUGAGCUCACUUUGUAGCCCAGGCUGGUCUCGAACUUGCAGCGAUUCUCCAGCCUCA
rnacentral:SRP_RNA from 1 species